rnacentral:rRNA from 1 species
CGCUGAGGCACGAAAGCGUGGGGAGCGAUCAGGAUUUGAUACCCUGGUAGUCCACGCAGUAAACGAUGUUCACUCGCUGUUUGCGAUAUACAGUAAGCGGCUUAGCGAAAGCAUUAAGUGAACCACCUGGGGAGUACGUCGGCAACGGUGAAACUCAAAGGAAUUGACGGGGGCCCGCACAAGCGGAGGAACAUGUGGUUUAAUUCGAUGAUACGCGAGGAACCUUACCUGGGCUUAAAUGUAGGUUGCAUGAGGUGGAAACACCCUUCCCUUCGGGGCUACCUACAAGGUGCUGCAUGGUUGUCGUCAGCUCGUGCCGUGAGGUGUCGGGUUAAGUCCCAUAACGAGCGCAACCCUUACCGUUAGUUGCCAUCAGGUCAAGCUGGGAACUCUAACGGGACUGCCACCGUAAGGUGAGAGGAAGGUGGGGAUGACGUCAAAUCAGCACGGCCCUUAUGUCCAGGGCUACACACGUGUUACAAUGGCCGGUACAGAGGGCAGCUACACCGCGAGGUGGUGCUAACCCUAAAAGCCGGUCCCAGUUCGGAUCGUAGUCUGCAACCCGACUACGUGAAGUUGGAUUCGCUAGUAAUCGCGCAUCAGCCAUGGCGCGGUGAUACGUUCCCGGGCCUUGUACACACCGCCCGUCAACCAUGGAAGCUGGGGGACCUGAAGUCUGUCA